CGGCUGCCACAAGUGGGGACCAGUUUUAUUGGGUCUAAAGCGUUCGUAGCCGGUUUGAUCAGUCUUUUGUGAAAUUGUUGAGCUUAACUUAACAACGUGCAAGAGAUACUGUCAAACUAGAGACCGGGAGGCGACAAGAGUAUGCUUUGGGGAGCGGUAAAAUGCUUUAAUCCUUAGUAGACUACCGAUAGCGAAGGCACUUGUCGAGAACGGGUCUGACGGUCAGGAACGAAGGCUGGGGGAGCAAAACGGAUUAGAUACCCGUGUAGUCCCAGCAGUAAACGCUGCUCAUUAGGUGUUGCGUAUCUCACGAAGGUAUGCAGUGCCGUAGCGAAGGCGUUAAAUGAGCCACCUGGGUAGUACGGCCGCAAGACUG
rnacentral:rRNA from 1 species